rnacentral:rRNA from 1 species
GACGAACCGUGCGAACGUUGUUCGGAUUAACUGGGCUUAAAGGGCGCGUAGGCGGUUCUACAAGUCAGGGGUGAAAGCUUUCGGCCUAACCGGAAAAGAGCCUUUGAUACUGUAGAGCUGGAGGGGGGUAGGGGCAUGUGGAACUUCCGGUGGAGCGGUGAAAUGCGUAGAUAUCGGAAGGAACGCCGGUGGCGAAAGCGACGUGCUGGACUCUCACUGACGCUGAGGCGCGAAAGCUAGGGGAGCAAACGGG